rnacentral:tRNA from 1 species
AGGAAGUUAGUUUAACCAAAACAGUUGAUUUCGGCUCAACAAAUCAUAGCCUCACCCUAUGACUUCCUC